rnacentral:rRNA from 1 species
AUGCACUGGACAGACUAGAAAUCUCUUUCAGUCCCAAAGUGCAAGGGAGGGAUGGGUUUCCGAGACUUGGAAACAUUCAAUAUUACACUACUAGGAAAGCAUGGUUGGCGGCUGACAACAGACCCGGAAUCCUUAUGCUCUAGGGUUCUCAAAGGCCGAUAUUUCCCAAAUGUUGAUUUCUUGCAUGCUACUGUGCCGAAAAACGCCUCUGCGACCUGGCGAGGCAUUAUAGCUGGGAGGAAGGCACUGGAAGUUGGAUUAAUGAAGAGGAUAUGUGACGACACUUCUGUUAAUAUUUGGACUGACCGGUGGCUGCCCGGAAAACUAUCUUUGCGUCCGUCAGUUCAGAUUGGAGAUGCCAAUAUCCACACAGUCUCGGACCUAAUUGACACUGACAAUUGGAAUUGGAGAACUGGGCUAGUAAGAUCAAACUUUACACCACCAGAUGCAGAUGCGGUCUUAAACAUACCACUCAAAUAUGGUGGAGGUGAAGACUUUUGGGCAUGGGCUCAUGAGAGGUCAGGGACAUAUACUGUCAAAUCCGCGUAUCGUGCUCUAAUGACUCGCAACGAGUAG